GUCAGAUAGUGAUAACAACAAAUAUUUCUAUAAUAGAAAUGUAAUUAUAGAAUUGACGUUUCUAUUGCACGUAGUAAAGGGUUUGGUUGUUGGUACCUGAGGUCCUAGGUUUGAAGCUUAGUUGCUUCAUUUCCAGCUAAGUUUAUCUUUAAAAAAUGAAAUAAAUGAAGUAGAUAGCAUGCUACCUUUCUCUCUAAAAAAAAGAAAUCUAAUUAUAGAAAUACAACUACAAUGCUUCAAUUACACUAGAUGCAACUAUUUCAUAGGUUAUAAGUUGAUCCAAUUUACUUCAUAUCUCAACUAUCUCAUACCUCUCAAAUAUAUAUUUUUUUAACCAACUUAGUAGUUUAGUUUCACUUCUUAUUACACCUCAUGGAGAGUCAAUUGCUAUCAAACUCCUCUCCAAUCAGUAGGUAGGUAACUGGGGUAGAAUACUCUCGAAUUUUCCAAAGUACCUAAUUAGGAGUCAAUUUUUCUCAUACUUCUCCCUUUUAAUUUGAGACUUCUGGAAGAUCACACAUAUUAUACUAUCACCCCAAAAAGUUCAUGACUUUUAUGGUGCGUUUGGUUCGCAUUAUCUUUUUAAGAUUCCUAGUAAUCCAAUAUAAAUAAAAAAAAUAUGACGGUGUUUGGCUAAAUGCACUAAGUAAUCUAGUUGGUAAUAUUAGAUUUACUUGGGAAUAAGAUUCAUCCCAAAAUACUAAUCUCAUUCCCUUAAGGGAGGGUGGGUAUCCUCAUAUUAAUGAUUGGGGUAACCAUAAUAUGUUUAAUAUCUUUCUUUCUCCCUACCAUUGGCUAGUUGGUAUUAUUUUUCUUUAUACUCUAAUCUCAUGUCUUUCUCUAAACUUAUCUUUUUCUUUAUAAAUUUCAACUCUUUUUCUCUCUCUAAAGUAAGUUCUCUCUCUCCCUCUUUUUCUAGAAUCUCAACUCUCUCACUCUCUCUAAUCUCGACUAUAUUUCUCUUUCUAUUUAUUUAAUUAUGCUCUUUUUCUCUAAUAUAUGUUUUCUCUCCCUUUUUUCUAAAGAGAUGUUGAAUUUUUGAUAGCAGUAUCUAAAAUUAAAUAAAUAAAUUAAUUAAUUAAUUGUAUAUUUUUUGUAAUAUUAAAUAACAUGAAUAAAUAAUAUGACCGUACGAACCAAACACAGGAAUGCCACAUUCUUAGUAAUAGGAUGAAUAGGAAUAAGAUUCUCGGACAUUUUUUUAUUCCUAGUAAUCUUUUAUAGUGCGAACCAAACGCACCCUUAGA
rnacentral:lncRNA from 1 species